CCUACGGGGGGCAGCAGUGAGGAAUCUUGGUCAAUGGACGCAAGUCUGAACCAGCCAUGCCGCGUGCAGGAAGACGGCUCUAUGAGUUGUAAACUGCUUUUGUACGAGGGUAAACGCAGAUACGCGUAUCUGUCUGAAAGUACCGUACGAAUAAGGAUCGGCUAACUCCGUGCCAGCAGCCGCGGUAAUACGGAGGAUUCAAGCGUUAUCCGGAUUUAUUGGGUUUAAAGGGUGCGUAGGCGGUCGGAUAAGUUAGAGGUGAAAUCCCGAGGCUCAACUUCGGAAUUGCCUCUGAUACUGUUCGGCGAGAGAGUAGUUGCGGUAGGCGGAAUGUAUGGUGUAGCGGUGAAAUGCUUAGAGAUCAUACAGAACACCGAUUGCGAAGGCAGCUUACCAAGCUACUUCUGACGUUGAGGCACGAAAGCGUGGGGAGCAAACAGGAUUAGAUACCCCGGUAGUC
rnacentral:rRNA from 1 species